GGAAAAAAAAAAGAAAAACGUCCAAGAAAAUGGGGUCAAUCUUUUUAAUUACCUCCGCAGAAUAUUUGUUAUUUUUCUUUGACGAUUUUUUUUAGGUUGCAUUUUU
rnacentral:ribozyme from 1 species